GGGCCUGUAGCUCAGCGGUAGCGGCAGUCGACUCUUAAUCGACCAGCCGUUGGUUCGACCCCAACCAGGCCAA
rfam:Candidatus Tremblaya princeps PCVAL, complete genome.